rnacentral:rRNA from 1 species
AUUGAACGCUGGCGGCAUGCUUUACACAUGCAAGUCGAACGGUAACAGGGAGCUUGCUCCGCUGACGAGUGGCGAACGGGUGAGUAAUAUAUCGGAACGUACCCAAGAGUGGGGGAUAACGUAGCGAAAGUUACGCUAAUACCGCAUACGAUCUAAGGAUGAAAGCAGGGGAUCUUCGGACCUUGUGCUCCUGGAGCGGCCGAUAUCUGAUUAGCUAGUUGGUGAGGUAAAGGCGCACCAAGGCGACGAUCAGUAGCUGGUCUGAGAGGACGACCAGCCACACUGGAACUGAGACACGGUCCAGACUCCUACGGGAGGCAGCAGUGGGGAAUUUUGGACAAUGGGCGCAAGCCUGAUCCAGCAAUGCCGCGUGAGUGAAGAAGGCCUUCGGGUUGUAAAGCUCUUUUGUCAGGGAUGAAACGGGAGUGGCUAAUAUCCAUUCCUAAUGACGGUACCUGAAGAAUAAGCACCGGCUAACUACGUGCCAGCAGCCGCCGUAA